rnacentral:rRNA from 1 species
UACGGAGGGUGCAAGCGUUAUCCGGAUUCACUGGGUUUAAAGGGUGCGUAGGUGGGCAGGUAAGUCAGUGGUGAAAUCUUCGGGCUCAACCCGAAGCCUGCAUAAGAAACUGCCGGGCUUGAGUAUGGGAGAGGUGAGUGGAAUUUCCGGUGUAGCGGUGAAAUGCGUAGAUAUCGGAAGGAACACCUGUGGCGAAAGCGGCUCACUGGACCAUAACUGACGCUGAGACGCGAAAGCGUGGGGAGCAAACAGG